rnacentral:rRNA from 1 species
ACUGAAAAUCUUCGGAGAUGUGGUCUGGAGAUGGGACAUCGAAUCUUUGGAAGCCGAUAAAGUGGUCUGGAAUGACCCGCCGUGGAGGGUGACAGCCCCGUUCGUAUCGGUGAAAGAGGAAAGUAGAUGCCUAUCAACGAGUCGAGUUGUUUGGGAUUGCAGCUCAAAGCGGGUGGUAAAUUCCAUCUAAAGCUAAAUAUCGAUAGGAGACCGAUAGCAAACAAGUACCGUGAGGGAAAGAUGAAAAGCACUUUGAAAAGAGAGUGAAAUAGUACCUGAAAUUGCUGAAAAGGAAAAGCUGGGAAGCAGUGUGGUGGCUGUAGACUUGUCUAUGGCAUACCAAGUGAGGCUUGUUUCGAUGGCGAGGGAAAAGGCAUGCCUGAGCAUGUACCUGCCAAGCCUUGGAACGACUCUCACGAAAUGCUUCUCAUCAACCCGUCUUGAAACACGGACCAAGGAGUCUAACAUAUGUGCAAGUGUUCGGGAUUCAAAUCCCAAGCGCGAAAUUAACGUAAAGGCAUGCUUUGGUAUGCUGAGAUAGGAAGCUUCGGCUGCACUAUCGACCGACCAUGAUCCUUCGAGUGAAAGGUUUGAGUGUGAGCAUAUAUGUUGGGACCCGAAAGAUGGUGAACUAUGCUUGAGUAGGACGAAGCCAGGGGAAACUCUGGUGGAGGUCCGUAGCGAUUCU